rnacentral:rRNA from 1 species
CGGAUUGCAGGCUGCAACUCGCCUGCAUGAAGCUGGAAUUGCUAGUAAUCGCGGAUCAGCAUGCCGCGGUGAAUACGUUCCCGGGCCUUGUACACACCGCCCGUCACACCAUGAGAGUCGGGAACACCCGAAGUCCGUAGUCUAACCGCAAGGAGGGCGCGGCCGAAGGUGGGUCCGGUAAUUGGGGUGAAGUCGUAACAAGGUAGC